GCGGGUGUAGCUCAAUGGUAGAGCCCCAGCCUUCCAAGCUGGCCAUGCCGGUUCGAUCCCGGUCACCCGCU
rfam:Modestobacter marinus str. BC501 chromosome, complete genome.